GGCGGUCCGCGCCUCUCGUCUCCGUGUAGGUCCGCCGAAGCGGGUCGAGAGGCCGGUCGCCGACUCAAUCCCGCCGCGGUGCUCUUGACUGAGUGUCGAGGUGGGCCGGCAAAAUUACUUUGAACAAAUUAGAGUGCUCAAAGCAGGCUUGAAAUUUACGCCUGGAUACUGUGGUGCAUGGAAUAAUAGAAUAGGACUUCGGUUCUAGUUUUCUGUUUGGUUUUAAGUGACCGAAGUAAUGACUAAUAGGGGCGGACGGGGGCAUCCGUACUGCAGCGCUAGAGGUGAAAUUCUUGGACCGCUGCAUGACGAACCAGAGCGCAAGCAUUUGCCAAGUACGCCUCUGUUAGUAAAGAACGAAAGUUAGAGGUUCGAAGGCGAUCAGAUACCGCCCUAGUUCUAACCAUAAACGAUACCAGCCAGCGAUCCGCCAAUGUUCCUCAGAUGACUUGGCGGGCAGCUUCCGGGAAACCAGAGCUUUUGGGUUCCGGGGGAAGUAUGGUUGCAAAGCUGAAACUUAAAGGAAUUGACGGAAGGGCACCACCAGGAGUGGAGCCUGCGGCUUAAUUUGACUCAACACGGGAAACCUCACCAGGCCAGGACACUGGAAGGAUUGACAGACUGAUGGCUCUUUCUUGAUUCAGUGGGUGGUGGUGCAUGGCCGUUCUUAGUUGGUGGAGUGAUCUGUCUGGUUAAUUCCGAUAACGAACGAGACUCUAGCCUAAUAAAUAGGCGUCUGGUAUCCACACACAUUUUAUAUGGUGGUUGCUACCAGCGAACAAAUAUAAAACUCUUCUUAUGGGGACCGGCGGCUUCUAGCCGUACGAGAUUGAGCAAUAACAGGUCUGUGAUGCCCUUAGAUGUCCUGGGCCGCACGCGCGCUACACUGAAGGAGUCAGCGUGUCUUCUCUGGCCGAAAGGUCCGGGUAACCCGUUGAAACUCCUUCGUGAUAGGGACUGGGGCUUGCAAUUGUUCCCCAAGAACGAGGAAUUCCCAGUAAGCGCAAGUCAUAAGCUUGCGCUGAUUACGUCCCUGCCCUUUGUACACACCGCCCGUCGCUACUACCGAUUGAAUGAUUUAGUGAGGUCUUUGGACUGGUGCUCGGCGAUCGCCUCGUGCGGUCGCCGA
rnacentral:rRNA from 1 species